UUAAUUUUUAUUUUAUAACUAUAUAUAUAUUUUUUUCCUUAGCAUUUGUAGUUUAAAAGCUUCCACACCACCUAAAUACUAAAUAGGGUCUUGAGCAUUACCUUUUGUAAGAUAAAAUAUCAAAAUUGCCCUUUACAAAAAUACAUAUUUCCAGAAACACCCUUAUAAUAAAAAAAAUAUAAAGUUUCAAAAGUCAAACUAAUAAAAUAAUUGGAAACAUUGAACCGCCGGGACCUGCUGUUCGGCCGCCGCCAGCGCCGGCGAAUAAAUAAUGCCUCGCCGGAGACAUUGCUUACACCAUCAGAUUCCAAAUUCUCCGAUCUACGUAAUUAAGGGGUUGGUUUUGCCAAAAAGGUGAGGAAGCAGAUGCACGCGCGAAAUAUCAAUCGGCGGCCAUAUAACGCCACCGUCUAACAGUGGUGAUUUCAAGUACACUGCCGCCUCAAAUGCGCCGACUAUCAAAUUCGUCUCUUGGUAGAAGUGGCCGUGCACCAAAAAUCAUCGCCGUUUGACGGGCGGCGGCACAAUGCGGUAAAGUUUUGGGGUAGCGCGUGUAGGUCUCUGAUAUAUCGGUUGCCGAUGAGGUUACUUCGACGACAUCGAUCCUGAAUUUCCGUUCUGAUGGCACCUAUUUUGUAGCAUGAAGCUUAACAAUUUCAUCAUUGGCGAUGACAACCUUGACGACGAUGAUGACCAAACAACACAGGAAAUUUAAAACUAUUUAUAAAAGUCUUUGGUUAAUUAUUUAUCUAAUUUCUAAUUAAUUUGUUAAUU
rnacentral:lncRNA from 1 species